AGUUCUUGUGUCAUAGGUUCGCCUCGCUGCCAUAAGGGGCUCCGUGGCUCAGACCCAAAUAGUGUGUGGUGUACGUUGACCACAGAAGGAGAAGAAGGGAAGAUGGUGAGGAAGAGGAGGGGAGGACGAGGAAGAGGCUGACGCGGCCAGGGACUGCACAGAAAGCAGCUUCAGGAGGCACAGCGCCUACAGAAACUUGCAAGGAAACGCUAUUUCUUACAUUGGUAAAGAUACAUGGAAGUCAUACCAUUUGGUUGAGAAACUGUGAGUAUAUUCUCUCCAUAAGUAAGUUUAAAAAAACUAACUCCAUUGUAAGAACUUCUUGGUCCAGAAUUUUGAGGACAGUAGCUCUGAGAAAAGGUAUUUCCUACUCUGUAUCCCAAAUCAAGUCUAUUGAUUGCAAUUCUGUUCAUUUUAAAAAAUUAAAUUUGGUAGGCCCUCUUUAUAAUCACA